rnacentral:tRNA from 1 species
GCUCAGUUAGUUGAGCGUUAGACUCUUGAUUUUGGCUCAAAUCAUGAUCUGAUGGUUUGUGGGAUCAAGCCCCACAUUGAGCU